CGGGAUGUAGCGUAGCUCGGCUAGCGCGCCUGCCUUGGGCGCAGGAGGUCCCGGGUUCAAAUCCCGGCAUCCCGA
rnacentral:tRNA from 1 species